UGCAGUCGAGCGGAACGAGUUAUCUGAACCUUCGGGGAACGAUAACGGCGUCGAGCGGCGGACGGGUGAGUAAUGCCUAGGAAAUUGCCCUGAUGUGGGGGAUAACCAUUGGAAACGAUGGCUAAUACCGCAUAAUACCUACGGGUCAAAGAGGGGGACCUUCGGGCCUCUCGCGUCAGGAUAUGCCUAGGUGGGAUUAGCUAGUUGGUGAGGUAAUGGCUCACCAAGGCGACGAUCCCUAGCUGGUCUGAGAGGAUGAUCAGCCACACUGGAACUGAGACACGGUCCAGACUCCUACGGGAGGCAGCAGUGGGGAAUAUUGCACAAUGGGCGCAAGCCUGAUGCAGCCAUGCCGCGUGUGUGAAGAAGGCCUUCGGGUUGUAAAGCACUUUCAGUCGUGAGGAAGGUAGUGUAGUUAAUAGCUGCAUUAUUUGACGUUAGCGACAGAAGAAGCACCGGCUAACUCCGUGCCAGCAGCCGCGGUAAUACGGAGGGUGCGAGCGUUAAUCGGAAUUACUGGGCGUAAAGCGCAUGCAGGUGGUUUGUUAAGUCAGAUGUGAAAGCCCGGGGCUCAACCUCGGAAUAGCAUUUGAAACUGGCAGACUAGAGUACUGUAGAGGGGGGUAGAAUUUCAGGUGUAGCGGUGAAAUGCGUAGAGAUCUGAAGGAAUACCGGUGGCGAA
rnacentral:rRNA from 1 species